rnacentral:snRNA from 1 species
CUUUGGACCUCGCAGGGGAAGUACCGUGAUCACCUCAGUGGUUUUUCCAGGGUGAGGCCUAUUCCUUAUACUCCAGGCAUGCCAACCCCUGCAAGUUUCCUCAAAUGCAGGAAACUUAACUGCACAAUUUUGUUUGCGGGGGAGGGGGCGACAACACACAACUGUUUUCUUGCUUUUCCCCCU